rnacentral:rRNA from 1 species
GCUUACUGCCACACCUCCCUGAGCACGCCCGAUCUCGUCUGAUCUCGGAGCUAAGCAGGGUCGGUGCCCGGUUAGUACUUGGAUGGGAGACCGCCUGGGAAUACAGGUGCUGUAGCUC